rnacentral:rRNA from 1 species
ACGAACGCUGGCGGCGUGCCUAAUACAUGCCAGUAGAACGCUGAAGAGAGGAGCUUGCUCUUCUUGGAUGAGUUGCGAACGGGUGAGUAACGCGUAGGUAACCUGCCUUGUAGCGGGGGAUAACUAUUGGAAACGAUAGCUAAUACCGCAUAACAAUGGAUGACACAUGUCAUUUAUUUGAAAGGGGCAAUUGCUCCACUACAAGAUGGACCUGCGUUGUAUUAGCUAGUAGGUGAGGUAAUGGCUCACCUAGGCGACGAUACAUAGCCGACCUGAGAGGGUGAUCGGCCACACUGGGACUGAGACACGGCCCAGACUCCUACGGGAGGCAGCAGUAGGGAAUCUUCGGCAAUGGGGGCAACCCUGACCGAGCAACGCCGCGUGAGUGAAGAAGGGUUUCGGAUCGUAAAGCUCUGUUGUAAGUCAAGAACGGGUGUGAGAGUGGAAAGUUCACACUGUGACGGUAGCUUACCAGAAAGGGACGGCUAACUACGUG